rnacentral:rRNA from 1 species
UACGUAGGGGGCAAGCGUUGUCCGGAAUCAUUGGGCGUAAAGCGCGUGUAGGCGGCCAGGUAAGUCCGUUCUGAAAGCCCGGGGCUCAACCCCGGGAGGCGGAUGGAUACUGCUUGGCUCGAGUCCGGAAGAGGCGAGUGGAAUUCCCGGUGUAGCGGUGAAAUGCGCAGAUAUCGGGAGGAACACCAAUGGCGAAGGCAGCUCGCUGGGACGGUACUGACGCUGAGAAGCGAAAGCAUGGGGAGCGAACAGG